rnacentral:lncRNA from 1 species
ACAAAAUAAGGAUAGACUAAUUUACUUAGUGAACCAAUGCUCUGGUACCAAAUGAUGCGGAACCCCAAGACCCUUGCCUGAACCUUAGUAACUCUUCAAUAUUAGCCCUUAUCAUGGCUAUAUCCAUCUCUUUGUAGUAGUCUUCUACACUCUUGUUCCCUUGUAUAAGGCCUUGCAAUUUUUGAUGUAACUCCCUAUAGUAGUGAGUAGGAACAAAGCGCCCUCUCAUGAUAGCCUUCAUUUCGGCUUAAGUGGAAAUAGAUCUCUCUCCAUUUCUCCUUUUACUUGUGAUGAGUUGAUCCCACCACACAAUGGCAUACUCUCCAAACUCCACGACCGCAAGCUUUAUCUUUUUCUCCUCCGAAUAAUUAUGGCACU